rnacentral:rRNA from 1 species
GACGAACGCUGGCGGCGUGCUUAACACAUGCAAGUCGAACGGAAAGGCCCUGCUUUUGUGGGGUGCUCGGGUGGCGAACGGGUGAGUAACACGUGAGUAACCUGCCCUUGACUUUGGGAUAACUUCAGGAAACUGGGGCUAAUACCGGAUAGGAGCUCCUGCUGCAUGGUGGGGGUUGGAAAGUUUCGGCGGUUGGGGAUGGACUCGCGGCUUAUCAGCUUGUUGGUGGGGUAGUGGCUUACCAAGGCUUUGACGGGUAGCCGGCCUGAGAGGGUGACCGGCCACAUUGGGACUGAGAUACGGCCCAGACUCCUACGGGGGGCAGCUGUGGGGAAUAUUGCACAAUGGGCGGAAGCCUGAUGCAGCAACGCCGCGUGCGGGAUGACGGCCUUCGGGUUGUAAACCGCUUUCGCCUGUGACGAAGCGUGAGUGACGGUAAUGGGUAAAGAAGCACCGGCUAACUACGUG